rnacentral:lncRNA from 10 species
GAAAAUUAUAGAAAUACUUUUAUUAGUUUGUUUAUUCAUUAGGAAGCUCCCACAGUGAGAGAAAUUACAAGCAGUCUCUGACGGGGGCUGGUCCUCUCUGUGGCCUUUAGUAGGGUGAUCCUCUUGGGUGGAGGUGGCAGUAAUUCUUGGCUGCCUUCCCAGUGUGGGCAGCAUCUUGCCUAAGCUCACCACAGAAUACGUGUUUGUCCAAAUGUUACACUACAAGCCAUAUAGUGUGGACUGCUUGCUUUUCAUUAAUGGGUUCUCAGUCUUCCCAUUGUCUCUCUUUGUAGGUAUUUUCCCCCAGGUCAUGGAUUGAUGUCUAACUCCAAAUCAAUUUUUAAGCUUAAAUUUCAACAAAGAAAGUGCUUAUAACCACUUGUCAUCCUCAAUUAUCCAUUGUGAGGAGGUGGAUGUAAGAUGACUUCUGGAGGCCAGUACUUCCUAAUGAUUAAGAGCCCACGCUCUAGAGUCAAAAUGAUGUAGGCACAAAUCCUGGCUUCCCC